AGUGAACGCUGGCGGUAGGCCUAACACAUGCAAGUCGAACGGCAGCACAGGAGAGCUUGCUCUCUGGGUGGCGAGUGGCGGACGGGUGAGGAAUACAUCGGAAUCUACUCUGUCGUGGGGGAUAACGUAGGGAAACUUACGCUAAUACCGCAUACGACCUACGGGUGAAAGCAGGGGACCUUCGGGCCUUGAGAGAGUGAAUGAGCCGAUGUCGGAUUAGCUAGUGAGCGGGGGAAAGGCCCCCAAAGGCGACGAUCCGUAGCGGGUCUGGGAGGAUGAUCAGCAACACUGGAACUGAGACACGGUCCAGACUCCUACGGGAGGCAGCAGUGGGGAAUAUUGGACAAUGGGCGCAAGCCUGAUCCAGCCAUACCGCGUGGGUGAAGAAGGCCUUCGGGUUGUAAAGCCCUUUUGUUGGGAAAGAAAUCCAGCUGGCUAAUACCCGGUUGGGAUGACGGUACCCAAAGAAUAAGCACCGGCUAACUUCGUGCCAGCAGCCGCGGUAA
rnacentral:rRNA from 1 species